GCAUGACUUGAUUAUGAAAGAUUUAUCGCUUAUGGAUGGACUCGCGUCAGAUUAGAUAGUUGGUGAGGUAACGGCUCACCAAGUCAACGAUCUGUAGCCGAACUGAGAGGUUGAUCGGCCGCAUUGGGACUGAGACACGGCCCAGACUCCUACGGGAGGCAGCAGUGGGGAAUAUUGCGCAAUGGGGGCAACCCUGACGCAGCAACGCCGCGUGCAGGAAGAAGGUCUUCGGAUUGUAAACUGUUGUCGCAAGGGAAGAAGACAGUGACGGUACCUUGUGAGAAAGUCACGGCUAACUACGUGCCAGCAGCCGCGGUAAUACGUAGGUGACAAGCGUUGUCCGGAUUUACUGGGUGUAAAGGGCGCGUAGGCGGACUGUCAAGUCAGUCGUGAAAUACCGGGGCUUAACCCCGGGGCUGCGAUUGAAACUGACAGCCUUGAGUAUCGGAGAGGAAAGCGGAAUUCCUAGUGUAGCGGUGAAAUGCGUAGAUAUUAGGAGGAACACCAGUGGCGAAGGCGGCUUUCUGGACGACAACUGACGCUGAGGCGCGAAAGUGUGGGGAGCAAACAGGAUUAGAUACCCUGGUAGUCCACACCGUAAACGAUGGAUACUAGGUGUAGGAGGUAUCGACCCCUUCUGUGCCG
rnacentral:rRNA from 1 species